rnacentral:rRNA from 1 species
GGGGAAUUGUUCGCAAUGGGCGCAAGCCUGACGACGCAACGCCGCGUGGAGGAUGAAGAUUUUCGGAUCGUAAACUCCUGUCGAAUGGGACGAACAGAUUGCGGGUGAACAGCCCGUAGUCCUGACGGUAACGUUAAAGGAAACCCCGGCUAACUCCGUGCCAGCAGCCGCGGUAAUACGGGGGGGGUAAGCGUUGUUCGGAAUUACUGGGCGUAAAGGGCUCGUAGGCGGCCAACUAAGUCAUACGUGAAAUCCCUCAGCUUAACUGGGGAACUGCGUGUGAUACUGGAUGGCUUGGAUUUGGGAGAGGGAUGCGGAAUUCCAGGUGUAGCGGUGAAAUGCGCAGAUAUCAGGAGGAACACCGGUGGCGAAGGCGGGUCUCUGGGCCGAUACUGACGCUGAGGAGCGAAAGCGUGGGGAGCGAA